UUGCCGACUGCUGGGCUAGAUGGACUAGAUGGACUCCCUGGAGGUGUCUCAUUUACCAAAAUCUAGAAUAUCACAGCAUUUAAGCAAGGGGUGUGCAGCGCUAUAACAAUUACAACAAGACAACUUUUUGUUAUGUUAUGUAUUGAUAGCACACGCUUUGACGUUGAUUAAAAUAAAGUACACCUCACAAAAAUCGGACGCGAGAUAAGCAAUUUACGAUGUAUUUAUUGUUGGGGAGGGUUGAUGGAAACGUCACCAACCUCUCCAACAUGGCCGCCUCACAGCUACGUCCGAUCUAGUUGAUAAAUCUAUCCACGGCGGCGGAACUUCGGAAAGGGGGUUGCUUUUGUGGAGGAAAAUGGCCUUCGUUGGGAAAAUAGCCUUCUUUUUACGAAGUGCCGCCAAAGGCUCGCGGUAUUUGCAAAGUUUAACAUGGCGCCCCGUUGUGAUCUGCGGCACAGUAGGGCUCGCGACAGGCUUUUUAGGGUAUUCUUACCAAUGUAACGUGAAGAGUGGGAGUAUUCCUCUCGUCGUCGUUCACGCCGAAGACCAAAAGGAGUCUGCUGCUCCCCAAAUGUCUGCCAGAAAGCGGCGUUUCAUCCAGUUUGCCUCAAUUGUAUACAAAGAGGAGCCCUACAUGACGCCUAGAGACUUCCUAUUCUCUGUGAUGCUGGAGAACGUUGAUCGCAAACUGCAGAAGAGAGUUCUCAAGACGAAAGAAAUUGAUCAGAUGUUGGUUGCUGCUUCCAAAGCUCAGCCUGGCAAUAAUUUGUUCAGACUUUGGGGUGACAACGGUUUGAUAUCCUACACAGAAUACCUGUUCUUGCUGACUAUUCUCACAAAGCCACGGACAGGAUUUCGUAUAGCUUUCAAAAUGCUCGACGUUGAUGGUAAUGAGCAAGUGGACAAAAGGGAGUUUUUGAAGCUCAAGAACAUUGGGAAAAGUAGAAAGAGAAUUUCAAAAGACAUCACGGAGAGAUCCGUUGAAGAAGGCGAGCAUGUGAACACGACGUUGCAGGCAUACUUCUUUGGAAAGAGUGGACAAAACAAGUUGCGGUAUCAAGAAUUCCACAAGUUCAUGGAGGAUUUACAAGCUGAGGUCCAGGAGAUGGAGUUCCUGCAGUUCUCCAAAGGAAUGGACACCAUGCGGCGUGAGGACUUUGCUGAGUGGCUUCUCCAUUACACCAAUGAGGAAGACAAUGAGAUUUACUGGGAAAACAUGCGAAAGAGGAUUCCGGCUGGCCAGAGCAUCACGUUUGAGGAGUUCAAAGCCUUCUGCCUAUUCACGAACAAUCUGGAGGAUUUUGCAUUUUCUAUGAAGAUGAUCAGUGAAGCUAACCGACCCAUAGGAAUGGCCCAGUUCAAGCGGGCCGUGAGGAUAGCCACAGGCCAUGAUCUGUCCGACAACGUGUUGGACACGGUGUUUAAACUCUUCGACUUGGACGGGGACAACUGCCUGAGCCACAAGGAGUUCAUUGGGGUGAUGAAAGACCGAGUCCUGCGGGGUCUCAAGGUGCAUCCACAGAAUGGAUUCUCUGGCUACUGGAAGUGUGUGAAGCAGGAGACCCUGAAAGGAGCUCAGGAAGCACUUGGAAACGGCAGAUGUCCCAUCUGAGUGUGGGGUCCACCAAGGACACAUCUCCGCCCCACCACACUUCCACCAGAGUGACGGACGGCAUCGUCAGCGGGAAUACGAGCACCGGACGAUUCCAUGUUAGCAAGCUGUAGAGCUCGUGCGCGUGACGUCACGGCGCCAUAUUGUCCAUCAAGCAGCAUUGCGCAACAUUGUGGGAGACGGAAUAUACACCACGCCGGAGACUUGUUGGUCGUCACAACCGAUGAGACGGAUCUUCAAAAAGAGGUCAUUCUACGGAAUACCAGCUGAAAAGAUGAGAAAACAUCAAUGGAUUUGGGCAAUGAUACGUGACGGCUGGUGCCCAAACAAAUACACCCGCCUUUGUAGUAGGAAUUCUUCUUCGCGAUCUCAAAUAACCAAGAAGGAUUUAUGAUGCCAUGUUUGCUCAUUUGAGAACGAUGCGUAUUUUAAAAAAUAAAUAAAUAAACCGUGUGCCACGGAGAGGUUUACGGAGGUAAGCGUGUGGUAGCAAUACCCUUCCGUGUACGGAGGCUACAUUUUUUUUUCCAAUCAUAGUUAAUGAAUGCUAGUUUGUGUAAAACCAAGGGUCAUUUAUUUAAAUAUCGGUAUUUGUGCUGAAUACUAGCUCAAAAGAUCGAUGGGUUUCGCCAAAGGUUAACGUGUAGCCGAACGCAUUUCCGCAUUCGCGAGCCAUCUCCCCGUUGGGAACAGAUCCAGCACCAAAGUAUUUCUGUGUCCAGACUCUGAUACACUUUUGUACUUUUCUCGACGACUUACUCACCAGAUCCGUGUGUAGAUCCAGUUGGCCGAGACAAGCGGAAGCAAAUUAACAGUCCAAUUUCUUAACGGCGAAAACAUCCGACUUCGGCAUUAAAUUUGGGUCCUCGAUGCCAAGUGUCUCUCAUUUUUCCACGUAUAUUCAUUUAUUAUCACCUUCUAAAUGUUUAACGGUAUCGGACAAAACUCUGGAUGUUGUGCUGUAGGACGUAUUUUCAUUUCGUCUCGACAGAAUUAACUUGCAACAACGCUUUGUUUGACUGGCAACAUGGCGACGUAAACAAAAGUCACGUGAUUUUAGGACGUAGCUGCACGAGCUCAAUAGACCCAUCUUAAAUCUCCCGUUCAUAGCCAAGAUUCAUGAGAAAGCCAUUUCUUGAAUUAAAUGGACUUUUUUACAGUACAGUACAGUACAGAAGCGGCCGGGCUCACAGUUCUGAGGACCCGGGUUCGAUCCCAGCCCCGCCUCUGUGGAGUUAGCAUGUUCUCCCCCGUGCCUGCGUGGGUUUUCUCCGGGCACUCCGGUUUCCUCCCACAUCCCAAAAACAUGCGACAUUAAUUGGACACUCUAAAUUGCCCCUAGGUGUGAUUGUGAGUGCGACUAUUUGUUUCCAUGCGCUCUAUGAUUGACUGGAUCAUUUAGCCACAGUCACAAUCCCACCUAGGGGCAAUUUAGAGUGUCCAAUUUAUGUCGCAUGUUUUUGGAAUGUGGGAGGAAACCGGAGUGCCCGGAGGAAACCCGCGCAGGCACGGGGAGAACAUGCAAACUCCACACAGGCGGGUCCAGGAUUGCAAUAACAUAUGGGGUCCCUCACGGAUCAGUUCUUGAACACCUCCUGUUCAGCAUGUAUGGGGCGAAUUCUUUCGAACUUUAAUGUUCACCAUCAUGCCUAUGCAGAUGACACACAAUUAUAUCGAGCAGUGUCUCCAGAUUUUUCCACUGUUUGAUUUCUUUGUAUUCAAAUGCUUUUAAUCAUGUCAAGCACAUUGAGUUACCCUGUGCAUGAAAUGUACUAUAUAAAAAUAAACUUGCUUUGCUUUUACGAAUUGUACUGGGAAUAGUGUACUCUUCUGUAUUGUCUUGUCAGUUCUGCACUAAGUUGCUGUUUUGACACUAAAGCAGUAAGUUAUUGGUUCAUGUUGAUGUAACUUGUGCGGUGUACAUUAUCAAGUAAUGGGCACAGUUAAGCAUUUUUUUUCCUGUGGAUAAGUAAAAUUCACUUGACAGCUGUUGUUCUGAGAACUGCAACAAUAAAACUAACACCAAACUGCACCGACGAAGGAAAAAAAAAGAUCAACAAAACAACGCUGCUAUCAAUAAAUCUGUUAACGCUACAAUGCCUUUUUUUGCGUUUAUUUUUUAUAUGGAAGCAUCUGAUGGUGACCUGGCCUGGCUGUCACAUUUUAAGUCCAUUGUAGCCCGUGACGCAAAAAGUUUGCACACCACUGGGCAUCGUAUAUGAGGAAAUUCAAAAUUAGUGUCAGUUCAGAUGGAGCCCAUCACUACGGAGUAAAAUUAUCCUAAACUGGUUACCGGGCAAUGUAAGGCACAAAUUGGCAAACAAUUCAUACUUGUACCAAAGAACAAUUUGAGAUUAUUCAAAUGAACCAAAGUUGGGUGGCGGAGAAAACCUAGACACAGCACAGAGGGAACACGGUACCUGGAUCCAGGAAGGCCGCAGGCUGGAUUUGAACCCUGAACCUCAGAAGAGUAAGACGGAUGUGUUUUUUUUUAUUUUAUUUUAGCAUGACAAUAGAUUUUAUUAUUGAACUUAAUUUUCACUGAAAUGCUGGUGAGGACUUAAUGACAAAAUUAAUCAUUUAUUUUGCGCUUCAGCUAUCAUGACAAAAAUUUAUUUCUAAAUUGAGCCGCUCAAUUGCACUUCAUUUCAGACCAAUAGCAGAAGGAGGAUUCACUUGAGUACUCACCAAUACCAGUUAUGCUUUUGAUACAUAUGUAUCCAUCUAUCCAUCGCAGGUGUCCUGGACCCUAUCUCAGCUACAAUAAACGGAACAAAGGAAAAUACUCUUUCUUUCUCACUACUAUAGCACAAUAACUACUAGUGCGGAAGACGUAUUCAUUCUCUGAUUUUUCACGAGCACACGAAACCUUGAAGUAAAAGGCUUGUAGCAGAAGGAUACUAAAACCUGGUAUUGGUGGGUUUUUUUUUUUUUUUAAUAUUAUAGUCUGUGCACAUGCAGCUUUGGUAUUGCUUGUACAGUGUGUUAAAAAAAAAAAAAACCAAAAAAAAAGAAGAUAUCUGGAAGUACCAGUGCUGAUGAAUG